GCGGGGGACCUUCGGGCCUCGCGCUCAAGGGGCGGCCGAUGGCGGAUUAGGUAGUUGGUGGGGUAAAGGCCUACCAAGCCGACGAUCCGUAGGUGGUCUGAGAGGACGACCAGCCACACUGGGACUGAGACACGGCCCAGACUCCUACGGGAGGCAGCAGUGGGGAAUUUUGGACAAUGGGGGCAACCCUGAUCCAGCAAUGCCGCGUGUGUGAAGAAGGCCUUCGGGUUGUAAAGCACUUUAGUCCGGAAAGAAAUCAUUGGGGCCAAUACCCCUGGUUGAUGACGGUACCGGAAGAAUAAGCACCGGCUAACUAUGUGCCAGCAGCCGCGGUAAUACGUAGGGUGCGAGCGUUAAUCGGAAUUACUGGGCGUAAAGCGUGCGCAGGCGGUGCUGUAAGACCGAUGUGAAAUCCCCGGGCUUAACCUGGGAACUGCAUUCGUGACUGCAGCGCUGGAGUAUGGCAGAGGGGGGUGGAAUUCCACGUGUAGCAGUGAAAUGCGUAGAGAUGUGGCACGAAAGCGUGGGGAGCA
rnacentral:rRNA from 1 species